GGCCUGGCACAAGCGGAGGAGCAUGUGGUUUAAUUGCGAUGAUACGCGAGGAACCUUACCUGGGCUUAAAUGUCAUGCGACCAUUUCUGAAAAGAGAUUUCUCUUCGGAGCGAAUGGCAAGGUGCUGCAUGGCUGUCGUCAGCUCGUGCCGUGAGGUGUUGGUUAAGUCCCGCAACGAGCGCAACCCCUAUCUUUAGUUGCCAUCAGGUUAUGCUGGGGACUCUAGAGAAACUGCCUACGUAAGUAGUGAGGAAGGCGGGGACGACGUCAAGUCAUCAUGGCCCUUACGCCCAGGGCUACACACGUGCUACAAUGGUAAGUACAAUGAGAUGCCACUUGGUAACAAGGCGCAAA
rnacentral:rRNA from 1 species